rnacentral:rRNA from 1 species
GACGAACGCUGGCGGCGUGCCUAACACAUGCAAGUCGAACGGGGUUGAGUGCUUCGGCAUUCAACUUAGUGGCGAACGGGUGAGUAACGCGUGAAGAACCUGCCUUUCAGUGGGGGACAACAGUUGGAAACGACUGCUAAUACCGCAUGACACUUCUUAGGGGCAUCCCCGAGAAGUCAAAGCUUAAUGUGCUGAAAGAUGGCUUCGCGUCUGAUUAGCUAGAUGGCGGGGUAACGGCCCACCAUGGCGACGAUCAGUAGCCGGUCUGAGAGGAUGAACGGCCACAUUGGGACUGAGACACGGCCCAAACUCCUACGGGAGGCAGCAGUGGGGAAUCUUCCGCAAUGGGCGCAAGCCUGACGGAGCAACGCCGCGUGAGUGAAGAAGGUUUUCGGAUCGUAAAGCUCUGUUGAGAGGGACGAGAGGCAAGGCUAGGAAAUGAGCUUUGUAGGACGGUACCUUUCGAGGAAGCCACGGCUAACUACGUGCCAGCAGCCG